UACGUAGGGACCAAGCGUUGUUCGGAUUUACUGGGCGUAAAGGGCGCGUAGGCGGUCAGCACAAGUCAGUUGUGAAAUCUCCGGGCUUAACUCGGAAAGGUCAACUGAUACUGUGCGACUAGAGUGCGGAAGGGGCAACUGGAAUUCUCGGUGUAGCGGUGAAAUGCGUAGAUAUCGAGAGGAACACCUGCGGCGAAGGCGGGUGCUGGGCCGACACUGACGCUGAUGCGCGAAAGCCAGGGGAGCGAACGGG
rnacentral:rRNA from 1 species